GCCAGACUCCUACGGGAGGCAGCAGUGGGGGAUAUUGCACAAUGGGGGGAACCCUGAUGCAGCGACGCCGCGUGAACGAAGAAAUAUUUCGGUAUGUAAAGCUCUACCAGCAGGGAAGAAAAUGACGGUACCUGACUAAGAAGCCCCGGCUAACUACGUGCCAGCAGCCGCGGUAAUACGUAGGGGGCAAGCGUCAUCCGGAUUUACUGGGUGUAAAGGGAGCGUAGACGGCAUGGCAAGUCAGAUGUGAAAGCCCGGGGCUCAACCCCGGGACUGCAUUUGAAACUGUCAGGCUGGAGUGCAGGAGAGGUAAGUGGAAUUCCUAGUGUAGCGGUGAAAUGCGUAGAUAUUAGGAGGAACACCAGCGGCGAAGGCGGCUUACUGGACUGUAACUGACGUUGAGGCUCGAAAGCGUGGGGAGCAAACAGGAUUAGAUACCCCAGUAU
rnacentral:rRNA from 1 species